GUAGGGAAUCUUCCACAAUGGGCGAAAGCCUGAUGGAGCAACGCCGCGUGUGUGAUGAAGGCUUUCGGGUCGUAAAGCUCUGUUGUAUGGGAAGAACAGAUAGAAUAGGGAAUGAUUUUAGUUUGACGGUACCAUACCAGAAAGGCACGGCUAAAUACGUGCCAGCAGCCGCGGUAAUACGUAUGUCCCGAGCGUUAUCCGGAUUUAUUGGGCGUAAAGCGAGCGCAGACGGUUUAUUAAGUCUGAUGUGAAAGCCCGGAGCUCAACUCCGGAAUGGCAUUGGAAACUGGUUAACUUGAGUGCAGUA
rnacentral:rRNA from 1 species